GCCCCUGUGGUGGAAUGGUAGACACGGCAGACUCAAAAUCUGUUGCUUGCAAAAGCAUGCUGGUUCAAGUCCGGCCAGGGGCAC
rnacentral:tRNA from 4 species